UUAAAUUGAAGAGUUUGAUCAUGGCUCAGAUUGAACGCUGGCGGCAGGCCUAACACAUGCAAGUCGAACGAUAACAGAAAGCAGCUUGCUGCUUUGCUGA
rnacentral:rRNA from 1 species